AUACUUGUCCUAGAAAUAGAUGUAUCUAGACUUAUNUUAGUUAUAGAUACAUCCAUUUUGUACAUUUCUAGGACAAGUAUUUUCGGACGGUGGGAGUAGAUA
rnacentral:pre_miRNA from 1 species